rnacentral:rRNA from 1 species
AACGAACGCUGGCGGCAGGCUUAACACAUGCAAGUCGAACGCCCCGCCAGGGGAGUGGCAGACGGGUGAGUAACGCGUGGGAAUCUACCCAUCCCUACGGAAUAACGCAUGGAAACGUGUGCUAAUACCGUAUACGCCCUACGGGGGAAAGAUUUAUCGGGGAUGGAUGAGCCCGCGUUGGAUUAGCUAGUUGGUGGGGUAAAGGCCUACCAAGGCGACGAUCCAUAGCUGGUCUGAGAGGAUGAUCAGCCACAUUGGGACUGAGACGCGGCCCAAACUCCUACGGGAGGCAGCAGUGGGGAAUAUUGGACAAUGGGCGCAAGCCUGAUCCAGCCAUGCCGCGUGAGUGAUGAAGGCCUUAGGGUUGUAAAGCUCUUUCACCGGAGAAGAUAAUGACGGUAUCCGGAGAAGAAGCCCCGGCUAACUUCGUG